GGAUGGAUUGAAGUGCCGAUACUGUAGGGGCCAGCUCCAGUUCGGGGUUGAUCCUGUC
rnacentral:ncRNA from 1 species